rnacentral:tRNA from 3 species
GCGAGGGUUGUCGAGUGGUCAAAGGCGCCGGACUUAAGAUCCGGUUCCGAAGGGAUUCGUGGGUUCAACUCCCACCCCUCGCA